GGCGUGCCUAACACAUGCAAGUCGAGCGAGAAGGUUAAGAUGGAUUCUUCGGAUGACAGAUUAACUGGAAAGCGGCGGACGGGUGAGUAACGCGUGGGUAACCUACCCCAUACACAGGGAUAGCCAUUGGAAACGAUGAUUAAUACCUGAUAACACAUAAUGGUCGCAUGACUAUGAUGUCAAAGAUUUAUCGGUAUGGGAUGGACCCGCGUCUGAUUAGCUAGUUGGUGAGGUAAAAGCUUACCAAGGCGACGAUCAGUAGCCGACCUGAGAGGGUGAUCGGCCACACUGGAACUGAGACACGGUCCAGACUCCUACGGGAGGCAGCAGUGGGGAAUAUUGCACAAUGGGCGCAAGCCUGAUGCAGCAACGCCGCGUGAGCGAAGAAGGUCUUCGGAUCGUAAAGCUCUUUUCUUAGGGAAGAAAAAUGACGGUACCUAAGGAGUAAGCACCGGCUAAAUACGUGCCAGCAGCCGCGGUAAUACGUAUGGUGCAAGCGUUAUCCGGAAUCACUGGGCGUAAAGGGUACGUAGGCGGUUAUGCAAGUCAGAAGUGAAAGGCUACGGCUCAACCGUAGUAAGCUUUUGAAACUGCAUGACUA
rnacentral:rRNA from 1 species